ACCCGGGGGGAUGGGCCUUAGUACGGCGAGUGAAGCGGCAAAAGCUCAAAUUUGAAAUCUGGUACCUUCGGUGCCCGAGUUGUAAUUUGGAGAGGGCAACUUUGGGGCCGUUCCUUGUCUAUGUUCCUUGGAACAGGACGUCAUAGAGGGUGAGAAUCCCGUGUGGCGAGGAGUGCGGUUCUUUGUAAAGUGCCUUCGAAGAGUCGAGUUGUUUGGGAAUGCAGCUCUAAGUGGGUGGUAAAUUCCAUCUAAAGCUAAAUAUUGGCGAGAGACCGAUAGCGAACAAGUACAGUGAUGGAAAGAUGAAAAGAACUUUGAAAAGAGAGUGAAAAAGUACGUGAAAUUGUUGAAAGGGAAGGGCAUUUGAUCAGACAUGGUGUUUUGUGCCCUCUGCUCCUUGUGGGUAGGGGAAUCUCGCAUUUCACUGGGCCAGCAUCAGUUUUGGUGGCAGGAUAAAUCCAUAGGAAUGUAGCUUGCCUCGGUAAGUAUUAUAGCCUGUGGGAAUACUGCCAGCUGGGACUGAGGACUGCGACGUAAGUCAAGGAUGCUGGCAUAAUGGUUAUAUGCCGCCCGUCUUAACACCCCGACACACA
rnacentral:rRNA from 1 species